rnacentral:lncRNA from 1 species
GGCUGUAUUUUCACCUCAAAAUUUUCUCUGAGUACAGGCAAACCUGUGCAUCUGGAAAAGUUUUAAGGCAUGGCAUGCCCUAAAUAAAUGAAUUUUAAAUAUGUUUUAUGUUUUAGAAAAAUAAAAACUUACCAGGAUUUUGCGGUGCACUUUUUUUGAUUCCUCCAGAAAGUGCCAAAAUAAACUAAGUUGGGAAAAAGGUUUGAGAACU